rnacentral:rRNA from 1 species
CGCGUAGGCGGAUCGUCGUGUCCGGUGUGAAAGCCCGGGGCUCAACCCCGGAAGUGCAUUGGAAACUGGCGAUCUUGAGUUCGGGAGAGGAGGGCAGAAUUCCUGGUGUAGGGGUGAAAUCCGUAGAUAUCAGGAGGAAAAUCAGUGGCGAAGGCGGCCCUCUGGAACGUAACUGACGCUAAGGCGCGAAAGCGUGGGGAGCAAACA